AUUGUUUCGAACGACAACUUUUUUCUUUUGAAGAGUUGGCGGAUCGGUAUUGAGGGUUUUGCCAUUCACCGUGGCUCCCUCGAAAUGCAUUAGCGCAUCCAUUUGAUAGGCAAGACGGACGAAAGCUCGAUUUUCGCUCUCUCUUCCCUGCCGGGUUUUGAUAAUAUCAGGACUUCGGAGAGGUUGAGAUGGGUAAGAGCUGGACGCAACGGCUUGCUGUUUGGAGUGCUUCUGAAACCCGCCCAUAUCGAGCUUUGCCUCGGAAGGGAUUUUAAUAAUU
rnacentral:misc_RNA from 1 species